AGAAAACCUCACCCAGUGGCAAACCUGCCACACUCAAGAUCUGCUCUUGGAAUGUGGAUGGGCUUCGAGCCUGGAUUAAGAAGAAAGGAUUAGAUUGGGUAAAGGAAGAAGCCCCAGAUAUACUGUGCCUUCAAGAGACCAAAUGUUCAGAGAACAAACUACCAGCUGAACUUCAGGAGCUGCCUGGACUCUCUCAUCAAUACUGGUCAGCUCCUUCGGACAAGGAAGGGUACAGUGGCGUGGGCCUGCUUUCCCGCCAGUGCCCACUCAAAGUUUCUUACGGCAUAGCAUAUGUACCUAAUGCAGGCCGAGGUCUGGUACGACUGGAGUACCGGCAGCGCUGGGAUGAAGCCUUUCGCAAGUUCCUGAAGGGCCUGGCUUCCCGAAAGCCCCUUGUGCUGUGUGGAGACCUCAAUGUGGCACAUGAAGAAAUUGACCUUCGCAACCCCAA
rnacentral:lncRNA from 1 species